GAUGAACGCUGGCGGCGUGCCUAAUACAUGCAAGUCGAACGAAACUUCUUUAUCACCGAGUGCUUGCACUCACCGAUAAAGAGUUGAGUGGCGAACGGGUGAGUAACACGUGGGCAACCUGCCCAAAAGAGGGGGAUAACACUUGGAAACAGGUGCUAAUACCGCAUAACCAUAGUUACCGCAUGGUAACUAUGUAAAAGGUGGCUAUACUACCGCUUUUGGAUGGGCCCGCGGCGCAUUAGCUAGUUGGUAGGGUAAAGGCUUACCAAGGCAAUGAUGCGUAGCCGAAUUGAGAGGUUGAUCGGCCACAUUGGGACUGAGACACGGCCCAAACUCCUACGGGAGGCAGCAGUAGGGAAUCUUCCACAAUGGGCGAAAGCCUGAUGGAGCAACGCCGCGUGGGUGAAGAAGGUCUUCGGAUCGUAAAACCCUGUUGUUAGAGAAGAAAGUGCGCGAGAGUAACUGUUCACGUUUCGACGGUAUCUAACCAGAAAGCCACGGCUAACUACGUG
rnacentral:rRNA from 1 species